rnacentral:rRNA from 1 species
AGGGCGCACGGUGGAUGCCUUGACACUAGGAGUCGAUGAAGGACGGGACUAACGCCGAUAUGCUUCGGGGAGCUGUAAGUAAGCUUUGAUCCGAAGAUUUCCGAAUGGGGAAACCCACCAUACGUAAUGGUAUGGUAUCCUUAUCUGAAUACAUAGGGUAAGGAAGACAGACCCAGGGAACUGAAACAUCUAAGUACCUGGAGGAAGAGAAAGCAAAUGCGAUUUCCUGAGUAGCGGCGAGCGAAACGGAACAUAGCCCAAACCAAGAGGCUUGCCUCUUGGGGUUGUAGGACAUUCUAUACGGAGUUACAAAGGAACGAGGUAGACGAAGCGACCUGGAAAGGUCCGUCGUAGAGGGUAACAACCCCGUAGUCGAAACUUCGUUCUCUCUUGAAUGUAUCCUGAGUACGGCGGAACACGUGAAAUUCCGUCGGAAUCUGGGAGGACCAUCUCCCAAGGCUAAAUACUCCCUAGUGAUCGAUAGUGAACCAGUACCGUGAGGGAAAGGUGAAAAGCACCCCGGAAGGGGAGUGAAAGAGAUCCUGAAACCGUGUGCCUACAAAUAGUCAGAGCCCGUUAACGGGUGAUGGCGUGCCUUUUGUAGAAUGAACCGGCGAGUUACGAUCCCGUGCGAGGUUAAGCUGAAGAGGCGGAGCCGCAGCGAAAGCGAGUCUGAAUAGGGCGUUUAGUACGUGGUCGUAGACCCGAAACCAGGUGAUCUACCCAUGUCCAGGGUGAAGUUCAGGUAACACUGAAUGGAGGCCCGAACCCACGCACGUUGAAAAGUGCGGGGAUGAGGUGUGGGUAGCGGAGAAAUUCCAAUCGAACCUGGAGAUAGCUGGUUCUCCCCGAAAUAGCUUUAGGGCUAGCCUUAAGUGUAAGAGUCUUGGAGGUAGAGCACUGAUUGGACUAGGGGUCCUCAUCGGAUUACCGAAUUCAGUCAAACUCCGAAUGCCAAUGACUUAUCCUUAGGAGUCAGACUGCGAGUGAUAAGAUCCGUAGUCAAAAGGGAAACAGCCCAGACCGCCAGCUAAGGUCCCAAAGUGUGUAUUAAGUGGAAAAGGAUGUGGAGUUGCUUAGACAACUAGGAUGUUGGCUUAGAAGCAGCCACCAUUUAAAGAGUGCGUAAUAGCUCACUAGUCGAGUGACUCUGCGCCGAAAAUGUACCGGGGCUAAAUACACCACCGAAGCUGCGGAUUGAUACCGAAUGGUAUCAGUGGUAGGGGAGCGUUCUAAGGACAGUGAAGUCAGACCGUAAGGACUGGUGGAGUGCUUAGAAGUGAGAAUGCCGGUAUGAGUAGCGAAAGACGGGUGAGAAUCCCGUCCACCGAAUGCCUAAGGUUUCCUGAGGAAGGCUCGUCCGCUCAGGGUUAGUCAGGACCUAAGCCGAGGCCGACAGGCGUAGGCGAUGGACAACAGGUUGAUAUUCCUGUACCACCUCUUUAUCGUUUGAGCAAUGGAGGGACGCAGAAGGAUAGAAGAAGCGUGCGAUUGGUUGUGCACGUCCAAGCAGUUAGGCUGAUAAGUAGGCAAAUCCGCUUAUCAUAAAGGCUGAGCUGUGAUGGGGAAGCUCCUUAUGGAGCGAAGUCUUUGAUUCCCCGCUGCCAAGAAAAGCUUCUAGCGAGAUAAAAGGUGCCUGUACCGCAAACCGACACAGGUAGGCGAGGAGAGAAUCCUAAGGUGUGCGAGAGAACUCUGGUUAAGGAACUCGGCAAAAUGACCCCGUAACUUCGGGAGAAGGGGUGCUUUCUUAACGGAAAGCCGCAGUGAAUAGGCCCAAGCGACUGUUUAGCAAAAACACAGCUCUCUGCGAAGCCGUAAGGCGAAGUAUAGGGGGUGACACCUGCCCGGUGCUGGAAGGUUAAGGAGAGGGGUUAGCGUAAGCGAAGCUCUGAACUGAAGCCCCAGUAAACGGCGGCCGUAACUAUAACGGUCCUAAGGUAGCGAAAUUCCUUGUCGGGUAAGUUCCGACCCGCACGAAAGGUGUAACGAUUUGGGCACUGUCUCAACCAGAGACUCGGUGAAAUUAUAGUACCUGUGAAGAUGCAGGUUACCCGCGACAGGACGGAAAGACCCCGUGGAGCUUUACUGUAGCCUGAUAUUGAAUUUUGGUACAGUUUGUACAGGAUAGGCGGGAGCCAUUGAAACCGGAGCGCUAGCUUCGGUGGAGGCGCUGGUGGGAUACCGCCCUGACUGUAUUGAAAUUCUAACCUACGGGUCUUAUCGACCCGGGAGACAGUGUCAGGUGGGCAGUUUGACUGGGGCGGUCGCCUCCUAAAGUGUAACGGAGGCGCCCAAAGGUUCCCUCAGAAUGGUUGGAAAUCAUUCGUAGAGUGCAAAGGCAUAAGGGAGCUUGACUGCGAGACC